rnacentral:rRNA from 1 species
UACGUAGGGGGCGAGCGUUGUCCGAAGUUACUGGGCGUAAAGCGCGCGUAGGCGGGUUGGCAAGUCUGCUGUGAAAGCCCGGAGCUCAACUCCGGAGGGUCGGUGGAUACUGCCAGUCUUGAAGUGGCUAGGGGGAGAUGGAAUUACCGGUGUAGCGGUGAAAUGCGUAGAGAUCGGUAGGAACACCAGUGGCGAAGGCGGUCUCCUGGGGCCCACUUGACGCUGAGGCGCGAAAGCUGGGGGAGCGAACGGG